CCUACUUUCUUUAUUUCUCAAAUUUCUUUCUCUCUCUUCUCUCUUUUCUCCCUACGAUCUCUCUCUAUUUUCUCACCAUCUUCAUGAACAUCAUGAAGAACAACAAGAACACCACCACCCAUCCCCAGAUUCCGGCGAGCCAUCGCCGGCCACCGUCGCCGCCGGAGCUUCUUUCAUCUGUAAAAGAAGAUGGGUUCAACAUCAAAGAUUUUAACCUUUGAGGAUCUGGCUAAACACAAUCACAAGAAAGAUUGAUGGAUCAUAGUCAACAACAAGAUUUAUGAACAAAUUUCGGUCUCUCAAAUUUACAUUUUUCAAUUUCAGUUUUGCAUGUAUGAAAUUCUCCUAGAUUCAAGUUUUUGGGUGUUGGAAAAACUAAGUUCUUGCAUGUAGGAAAUUCUCAAUAGAUUCAAGCUUUUGGGUGUUGGAAAAACUAAGUGAACCAAACACUAGCUACUUUAGGCUUCUUUGGAGUUGAGAAGCUGCAAAUAAUGUGAGCAAGUUUACAUGUUCUCAAUAUCUCAUCUUGAUAUCCUUCAUUCAAUAAUUAGGUUAUCAAAGCUUAUAUGCUAAGGAUUUCGAACAACUUCAAUUGUACCAUGGUCUUUUGGAUCAUCACAAUUUGAUUGAAUUGGCCAUUUAAAGGAGAAAAAUGGAGCAUGCUUGGUGUGAAUAUAAUUGGGUGGUGGUGCAUAUCAAUCCAAUACAACAUGUCAUAUUAGUUUUUUCAGCUUUGUAUAAUACAUAGUGAUAACACCCAACACUUGAAAUAAUGAGCAAAAUUAUAAAUCUUAAUAUAAGGUUUAUAAUGUUGGAAAAAUUGUCAACUACAUUGAUAUUUGUCCAUUAUAUGGUGGUUCACUUUUAUAUUUA